AGCUUCAGAAUGGUAAACGAAACAGAAUUUUGGACCGAAAUUCGAAAAACUAUACCGCAGUACAAAAAAAGAAAACCGAGAGUUGUUCCAGCUUUUACGAUUCAAGCUUUGCAGGAGAAUACUGUUGUCGCAAAACCUCGUCGAUAUGAAUUGUACAAACCUCAACUACCAAAACCAUCGACUUUUCGGAAAUUCUAUGAAGAAGGCGUAUUUCCAAUUUCGUUGGAAAAUGAUAUUUAUGGGACGAAACUCAGCUGGAAAGUUAACAUCGAGGACCUAGAUUUCCAUCAUUAUUUACCAUUGUUUUUUGAUGGAUUGACUGAAACUGAACAACCUUAUAAAUUUUUGGUGGAACAAGGGAUAUCUGAUAUGUUGGAACACGGUGGUCCAAAAAUUUUACCUGUUGUACCGCAAUUAAUAAUUCCUAUCAAGAAAGCUUUGAAUACAAAAAUGCCAGAAAUUAUUUGCGCUACAAUGAAAGCUCUUCAGAAACUUGUACGUUCUGGUGAUUGUGUCGGGGAAGCUUUAGUGCCAUAUUUUAGACAAAUUUUACCAGUUCUUAAUUUAUUAAAAGAUAAAAAUGGUAAGAGGUUUCUUUAUAUUAACCCUUUGCACUCGAGAGGUGACUCUCCAUCACCACUAGAUGAUCUUUAGGUUUACUUUCUUUGGAACUCGAAGUGUCAAUAAAAUGAUUCUUCAAUUAUUCUAUUCGCUUGCUUUAAAUAGGGCACGUUGUAUUUAUGACUUGAAAUAUUUAACUCUGCGAAACACAGGAAAUAUUUAAAAAUUCAUUUAUUAGUCUUUAAUAAUAACUACUAAACAUCUUCAUAGUUCAUAAAGUUAAUUUACAGUAACAUUUAACCCUUUGCACUUGAGAGGUGACUCUCAGUCACCGAUAGGUUUCCUUUAAGUUUAAUUUCUUUGGAACUCGAAGUGCCAAUAAAAUGAUUGUCAUUGAGGCAAAGUCCUGAUUUUCAAAUCUCAAAUUAGAGAUCUCAUUUUCGAAGUCAAUAUAAUCUUAGCAUUCAUGAUAAUAGAAUCCUAAAAAAGCAUCUCGAGUUGCUGACACAUACCAGAAAAAAAGGCCUAGAGUCCAAAGAGUUAAUAUUAUAUUAAAUUAGUUUGAAGAAUUGAAUAAUAUAAUAAUCAUCAAUCUUGGAGAAGGAAUUGACUAUUCGCAACAGAGAGGAGAAAAUGCUGCGGACAUGAUACAAGAAACUCUUGAAAUGCUUGAAAUAUAUGGAGGCGAAGAUGCUUUUAUAAAU